AUUGAACGCUGGCGGCAUGCCUUACACAUGCAAGUCGAGCGGCAGCGCGGGGGCAACCCUCGGCGGCGAGCGGCGAACGGGUGAGUAAUGCAUCGGAACGUGUCCUCUUGUGGGGGAUAACCAGUCGAAAGACUGGCUAAUACCGCAUGAGCUCGUAAAGAGGAAAGCAGGGGACCCGCAAGGGCCUUGCGCGAGAGGAGCGGCCGAUGCCCGAUUAGCUAGNGGUGGGGUAAAGCCUACCAAGGCGACGAUCGGUAGCUGGUCUGAGAGGACGACCAGCCACACUGGGACUGAGACACGGCCCAGACUCCUACGGGAGGCAGCAGUGGGGAAUUUUGGACAAUGGGGGCAACCCUGAUCCAGCCAUGCCGCGUGUGUGAAGAAGGCC
rnacentral:rRNA from 1 species